AACUAGAAGUCGGUACAAGAUUUCCGUAGAUGAUCCUGCGGAAGGAUCAUUGUCGAAACCUGCAAAGCAGAAUGACCCGCGAACGCGUUUCAACACUGGCGGCCACGCGGGCGGGGGUGCUUCGGCCCCCCGUGCGUGCGUAUCCCCCUCGCGCCGGGCGACUAACGAACCCCGGUGCGGAAAGCGCCAAGGAAUACUUAAAUUGAUAGCCUGCCUCUUGCGCCCCGUGCGCGGUGCGCGCGGGAGGGCCUGUGCUUCUCUUGAAACAAAAACGACUCUUGGCAACGGAUAUCUUGGCUCUCACAUCGAUGAAGAACGUAGCGAAAUGCGAUACUUGGUAUGAAUUGCAGAAUCCCGUGAACUAUCGAGUCUUUGAACGCAAGUUGCGCCCGAAUCCAUUAGGCCGAGGGCACGUCUGCCUGGGCGUCACGCAUCGUGUCGCCCCCGCCCACCGCACCCACGCUCUAGGUCGCGGUGGUGUUGCGGGGCGAAUACUCGCCUCCCGUGAGCCUCGCGCUCGCGGCUGGCCUAAAUACGAGUCCACGUCGACGGACGUCACGGCAAGUGGUGGUUGUAACCCAACUCUCGAAGUGUCGUGGCUAUGCCCCGUCGCGCGUUUGGCCUCCCGGACCCUUCUCGCGCUUAGGCGCUCCGACCGCGACCCCAGGUCACGCGGGAUUACCCGCUGAGAUUAAGCAUAUCAAUAAGCGGAGGAA
rnacentral:rRNA from 1 species